UACAGAGGGGGCAAGCGUUGUUCGGAAUUACUGGGCGUAAAGGGCGCGUAGGCGGCCGCAUAAGUCAGACGUGAAAUCCCUCGGCUCAACCGGGGAACUGCGUCUGAUACUGGGUGGCUUGAAUCCGGGAGAGGGAUGCGGAAUUCCAGGUGUAGCGGUGAAAUGCGUAGAUAUCUGGAGGAACACCGGUGGCGAAGGCGGCAUCCUGGACCGGCAUUGACGCUGAGGCGCGAAAGCCAGGGGAGCAAACGGG
rnacentral:rRNA from 1 species